rnacentral:rRNA from 1 species
ACGUAGGGUGCAAGCGUUAAUCGGAAUUACUGGGCGUAAAGCGAGCGCAGGCGGUUCUGUAAGACAGAUGUGAAAUCCCCGGGCUUAACCUGGGAAUUGCAUUUGUGACUGCAGAGCUAGAGUGUGUCAGAGGGAGGUAGAAUUCCGCGUGUAGCAGUGAAAUGCGCAGAUAUGCGGAGGAAUACCGGUGGCGAAGGCGGCCUCCUGGGAUAACACUGACGCUCAUGCUCGAAAGCGUGGGGAGCAAACAGGAUUAGAUACCCUGGUAGUCCACGCCCUAAACGAUGUCUACUAGUUGUCGGGUCUUUAUUGACUUGGUAACGCAGCUAACGCGUGAAGUAGACCGCCUGGGGAGUACGGUCGCAAGAUUA